rnacentral:rRNA from 1 species
ACUCCUACGGGAGGCAGCAGUAGGGAAUAUUGCCCAAUGGACGAAAGUCUGAGGCAGCAACGCCGCGUGCACGAUGAAGGCCUUCGGGUUGUAAAGUGCUUUUCUGGAGGAAAAGAAAGGACUGUACUCCAGGAAUAAGGAUCGGCUAACUACGUGCCAGCAGCCGCGGUAACACGUAGGAUCCGAGCGUUAUCCGAAUUUACUGGGCGUAAAGCGCGUGUAGGCGGUUUAGUAAGUUGGAUGUGAAAGCUCCCGGCUCAACUGGGAGAGGCCGUUCAAAACUACUAAACUAGAGGACGGUAGAGGGAGGUGGAAUUCCCGGUGUAGUAGUGAAAUGCGUAGAUAUCGGGAGGAACACCAGUGGCGAAAGCGGCCUCCUGGACCGUUCCUGACGCUCAGACGCGAAAGCUAGGGGAGCGAACGGGAUUAGAAACCCCGGUAGUCCUAGCCGUAAACGAUGUGAACUUGGCGUCGGUGGGGUAAAAUCCAUCGGUGCCGGAGCUAACGCGAUAAGUUCACCGCCUGGGGACUACGACCGCAAGGUUA